AUCGGUGCCUAUGGCAGUGAGGUCACACCCGUCCCCAUUCCGAACACGGAAGUUAAGCUCACUCACGAUGAUGAUACUUGGCUGGAGACGGCCUGGGAAAGUAAUGCGGUGCCGGUA
rnacentral:rRNA from 1 species